UACGCCGGGGGCUAGCGUUGCUCGGAAUCACUGGGCGUAAAGCGCACGUAGGCGGAUUGCUAAGUCAGGGGUGAAAUCCUGGAGCUCAACUCCAGAACUGCCUUUGAUACUGGCGACCUUGAGUCCGGGAGAGGUGAGUGGAACUGCGAGUGUAGAGGUGAAAUUCGUAGAUAUUCGCAAGAACACCAGUGGCGAAGGCGGCUCACUGGCCCGGUACUGACGCUGAGGUGCGAAAGCGUGGGGAGCAAACAGG
rnacentral:rRNA from 1 species